UGGGUACGAGAGGUGGCAACUCCCAAUAUCCUUUUGGGGUCAUCUUUAACGUCCUCUCCGAUCUCAAUUAUUGAAUUUUCUAAAGCAGUGUUUGAUUCGUUCUUCUCUUUUUGGGUUCAUUAAUACUAUUUUUAAUUACUCUAUUUAUUUGGCUUUGUCAACUUCUGCUCGUAUCUAGUGUAGUAAGUAUAUUUAUGGGACAAUAGGUCUAAUAUACCCACUAGAGUUCCAAAUUAGUCCAAUAUCCAUGGGUUUGGAUAAGGACAAAAGCAGUAUCAUUUUAGUAAGAGAGUGGCGAAACUGCUCCUGCUUUAUGUUGAAAUAGAUGUGCCGAUCGUACAAAGCGUGUGUGUCAGACUGCAGCAAAUCUGUUGGUGGGAGAGUUGUUCUGAGGAGUAGGGAUGAUGGUAAGGGGCGAUGCAGAAGACGGUCCGUUGGACAAAGAAGAGCUUCGUACUAGAUGUGAUUCAUCCAAACCAAUUCAUUAGAGAGAUUUGCGUGGUAGAGGAUGUCUUCAAGUGCCCGAGGAGGUGUUGAUGACCAUCUGCACCCGUGAGCAAAUGGAAGAAAUCCGUAGGAACUCUCUCAGUCUUAUGAGAAGUGAUAUUACCCAGCCUCUUGUCCAAUCUGAAACAGACUCAAAUGGAUGUUUUCACUCCAACAAGAGAUGGAUAAUCAGGCUUGAGGAAGUUGCCAGCGAACCUCCAUGGCAAAAAAGUCUCACAUUAGCCUUAGCUGCUACUGAUGGAAUUGCUGGAGGGCGUUUUGAGUCAACUAACAAGGGGAAAGAAAAAAGUCACAGAUCCAGUAACUGGUGGAAGUCAGUUCUUGAAUUGCAGAUGAGUUCCGGUUAUGUGGAUCCCGGCUUGGGUACUUGGGUAGGGCUGACAUGGGGCCAAAAAUUGGUGAGGUUGAGGAUUGUGUGAUACUUGAGGGUGAUGACAUGAGCAAGGUCACGCAGCACUUUGUUAAGGGCACGCAGCACUUCGUUAAUGUGGCCGUCAGCCUCUUCGGCAUAAGUGUUGUUGGAGGGAUAAUCCCUUCUGUCUGCCGAAGGUGGUUCAUCAGUCUGUUCGUCGCCAUCAACCGUCUGGUCAGCACUCCCUUCGCUAUGGUUUGAUUUACCAAUGAAAUCAAUUAACCCCUUAAGCACUGACGACCACCUACAAAUUCAAGAAUUGAGAGUGUAUUAGAAAAGACAGCGAGACGAUAAGCAAUGCAAUACCAUUUCUGUAUUUAUUAUCCCAUAUAAUAAUGUUUAAAAGGGAUGUAUUCAAUAUAACAUUUGAGGUGAUUUAAUUUUUAAUGGAGUUUUAAAUGAUUUCAGUAAAAGUUGCAGAGAUUUAGGUGAUUUAUGUCAAAUCACUCUAGAAUAUAACCUAAAACUAUGAGAUUUGAGUUUUAUUUUUUUAAACUAAAAAACUCCAUCCAAACACCUUAAAAUCACCUGAAAACUUUAAAAUUCCACAACUUAAAAUAUUUUCAAUAACAGUAGAUUUUAGAGUACUCUACGAAAUGUUAAGUUCAAUAAAAGUGGAUUUUAAAUAAGUUUUUAAAAUUCAUGUUUGAAUAACAGUUGAUUUGUCAUUUUAAUACAAAUCACCUAAAAUAAUUUAUCAUUUUAAUGUAAAUCACCUAAAACUCUCAGUUGAAUACAACCCCCUAAGUGUCCCUUCAGGAACCGAACAUCCGGUAAACUAAAUAUUACCAUAGAAUAUGAUGGGCGACUUAGGCGUAUACAUCCGUUAGUUUUUGUUUGUUUAUGUGACAAAUAAAAAAGAUCGUUACUAGUUUAAGAUUUAAACAUUUAAGUCUAAAACUUGAACUCUAAAUUUUAUAAAAAUAGACCCUAAGCCUUUAAAACUAAAGUUUGAGCUUUGAAUCUUUGAUCCUACCUACCUCCUAACCUAAUCGCUACCUAUAGCCUAAACAAAAUGGUUCG